AGCCCUAAGCGGGUGGUAAACUCCAUCUAAGGCUAAAUAUGACCACGAGACCGAUAGCGAACAAGUACCGUGAGGGAAAGUUGAAAAGCACUUUGAAGAGAGAGUUCAAGAGUACGUGAAACCGUUUAGGGGUAAACCUGAGAAACCCGAAAGGUCGAAGGGAGAAAUUCAUUCGCGUUUCGCCGUCGGCGUGAGACGGUCGAGUGACGAAAAACGUUCGCGCGUUUUUCGCGCCUUCCGUUUUUCGAUCCGAUAGCGAACGCGUGCACUUUUCUCCCGGUAGGACGUCGCGAUCCGUUGGGUGUCGGUCUACGGCUCGCGGUGGAGCCCGAAUGUGUUCUUCGCGAACACGUUCGGACCCGCGUGUCCCGGCCGACCCGCUCGACGGUAUACGAAAGGUUUAAGGCCGCUCUCGGAGCGUUCGACUCGUCGCAAGCGCGUCAGAUGUUCGUCGGUAAUCGGACCCGGUGCCGGUUCUGACCUCUGGCGACUGUUGGCGACGAAGUUCUCGAACAGACCUUUUAAAACCGAUCUGCGACGCUAUAGCUUUGGGUACUUUCAG
rnacentral:rRNA from 2 species